CACGUAGGGUGCGAGCGUUGUCCGGAAUUAUUGGGCGUAAAGAGCUCGUAGGCGGUGUGUCGCGUCGGCCGUGAAAACCUACAGCUUAACUGUGGGCUUGCGGUCGAUACGGGCAUCACUGGAGUUCGGCAGGGGAGACUGGAAUUCCUGGUGUAGCGGUGAAAUGCGCAGAUAUCAGGAGGAACACCGGUGGCGAAGGCGGGUCUCUGGGCCGAUACUGACGCUGAGGAGCGAAAGCUAGGGGAGCGAAUGGG
rnacentral:rRNA from 1 species